UCAGCAAGUGCUUGCAGAAACAGUUGUUG
rnacentral:piRNA from 1 species